AUACUUACCUGGCAGGGGUGAUACCAUGAUCACAAAGAUGGUUUUCCCAGGGUGAGUUUUAUCCAUUGCACUCCAGAUGUGCUGACCCCUGCGAUUUCCCCAAAUGUGGGAAACUGCAUAAUCUGUGGUAGUGGAGGACUGCGUUCACGCUCUCCCCUU
ensembl:snRNA U1 U1 spliceosomal RNA